rnacentral:rRNA from 1 species
UACAGAGUGUGCGAGCGUUGUCCGGAAUCACUGGGCGUAAAGGGCGCGUAGGCGGCUCGGUAAGCGUGCGGUGAAAUCCCGGGGCUCAACCCCGGGUCGGCCGUGCGAACUGCGGAGCUGGAGCACUGUAGAGGCAGGUGGAAUUCCGGGUGUAGCGGUGGAAUGCGUAGAGAUCCGGAAGAACACCGGUGGCGAAGGCAGCCCCCUGGGCUAACACUGACGCUCAGGCACGAAAGCGUGGGGAGCAAACGGG